rfam:Myotis davidii contig136935, whole genome shotgun sequence.
GGUGGAUCUCAGGUGACACGUCCCAGAAUCGAGCUCCCUCCUCUCUGGUUCCAGGUGCAUCACCCGAGAACCACA